GAUGAACGCUGGCGGCGUGCCUAAUACAUGCAAGUCGAACGAGGUGCCUUUGUAGCAAUACGAGGGUAUCCUAGUGGCGAACGGGUGAGUAACGCGUUGGUGACCUGCCCCGAAGUGUGGGAUAACAGUCCGAAAGGAUUGCUAAUACCGCAUGUGAUCAUUGGGUUUAGAAGCCGAUGAUUAAAGGAGAAAUUCGCUUCGGGAGGGAUCUACGUCCCAUCAGCUAGUUGGUAGGGUAACGGCCUACCAAGGCGACGACGGGUAGGGGACCUGAGAGGGUGGACCCCCG
rnacentral:rRNA from 1 species